ACAAAAUUCAAGGAUAGCCUAUAAAAAUUAACCUAUCUAUGCCUCUUAAGCAAAGCAGCAGUCCCAUCUCACUGAAAACAAUCUAAGACAACUCAGAAGUCAAAAUCCCUGAUGAUAAAGCAGGCUUUGUUCCCUGUUUAUCCUGGUUACUGUAUACUACCAAAUACAAGCCUUUCUUUUUUGGUUUUAAGAUAGGGAUAUUCCAUCAAGAGAAAGUUCGGAUUACAAAGCCCAGACCUCCAAAAACAGAAACAAGAUGCUCAAGAGAAAACCCAGCCAAUACAAUGAGCCCAAGACUCCAAGGCCCAUGACCCAGAUCACAGAAACCCAAGGAAGACUAAAGCUUUGCACGAGCAACCCUGUUUCAAGAGUUUAUCAACAGAAGUUCAUGUCACAGCAUGAAUUUGAAAUCUAACAUUUGCAAAUAUGCUCCUGAUCACCCUGGGAUGACCCCACCUCUUGAAGGCCAUGCAAUCAACAAGCUCAUUGAAAGAGAUUCAUUGGAAGAACAGA
rnacentral:misc_RNA from 1 species